GUCUAUCGGUUAGGACACCAGAUUUUCAUUCUGGGAAGAGGGGUUCGACUCCCNU
rnacentral:tRNA from 1 species